CCUACGGGAGGCAGCAGUGGGGAAUAUUGCACAAUGGGGGAAACCCUGAUGCAGCGACGCCGCGUGAGUGAAGAAGUAAUUCGUUAUGUAAAGCUCUAUCAGCAGGGAAGAACAUGCCGGUACCUGAGUAAGAAGCCCCGGCUAACUACGUGCCAGCAGCCGGGGUAAGACGUAGGGGGCAAGCGUUCUCCGGAUUUACUGGGUGUAAAGGGAGCGUAGACGGCAGUGCAAGUCUUGCGUGAAAGGCGGGGGCUCAACCCCCGGACUGCUCUGGAAACUGGACGGCUGGAGUGCAGGAGAGGUAAGUGGAAGUCCGGGUGUAGCGGUGAAAUGCGUAGAUAUUAGGAGGAACACCAGUGGCGAAGGCGGCUUACUGGACUGUAACUGACGUUGAGGCGCGAAAGCGUGGGGAGCAAACAGGAUUAGAUACCCUAGUAGUC
rnacentral:rRNA from 1 species